rnacentral:rRNA from 1 species
AAAACCCCUCUACUUAGUGCCCCCUUUCGGGCAUUGCGAAAGGUUGACGAAGCGACGCCGCGUGCGGGAGGAAGGCCUUCGGGUUGUAAACCGCUGUCGGGAGUUAAGAAAUGCAAGGAUGUUAAUAGCGUUCUUGCUUGACUAAGGCUCCGGAGGAAGCCACGGCUAACUCUGUGCCAGCAGCCGCGGUAAUACAGAGGCGGCAAGCGUUGUUCGGAAUUAUUGGGCGUAAAGAGCACGUAGGCGGCCUUGCAAGUCAGUUGUGAAAGCCUUCCGCUUAACGGAAGAACGGCAUCUGAUACUACAGGGCUUGAGUACGGGAGGGGAGAGUGGAACUUCUGGUGGAGCGGUGAAAUGCGUAGAUAUCAGAAGGAACGUCGGCGGCGAAAGCGACUCUCUGGUCCGAAACUGACGCUGAGUGUGCGAAAGCUAGGGGAGCAAACGGGAUUAGAUACCCCGGUAGUCCUAGCCGUAAACGAUGGGCACUAAGUAGAGGGGUU